CCGUUAGCUCAGUGGACAGAGCGCCUGGUUACGAGCCAGGAUGUCGCAGGUUCGAGUCCUGCACGGUCCA
rnacentral:tRNA from 1 species